rnacentral:rRNA from 1 species
AGUGAACGCUGGCGGUAGGCCUAACACAUGCAAGUCGAACGGCAGCACAGUGAGAGCUUGCUCUUAUGGGUGGCGAGUGGCGGACGGGUGAGGAAUACAUCGGAAUCUACUUUUUCGUGGGGGAUAACGUAGGGAAACUUACGCUAAUACCGCAUACGACCUACGGGUGAAAGCAGGGGAUCUUCGGACCUUGCGCGAUU